rnacentral:rRNA from 1 species
GAAAAAGAGGAGUGGCGAACGGGUGAGUAACACGUGGGUAACCUGCCCAUCAGAAGGGGAUAACACUUGGAAACAGGUGCUAAUACCGUAUAACAAUCGAAACCGCAUGGUUUUGAUUUGAAAGGCGCUUUCGGGUGUCGCUGAUGGAUGGACCCGCGGUGCAUUAGCUAGUUGGUGAGGUAACGGCUCACCAAGGCCACGAUGCAUAGCCGACCUGAGAGGGUGAUCGGCCACAUUGGGACUGAGACACGGCCCAAACUCCUACGGGAGGCAGCAGUAGGGAAUCUUCGGCAAUGGACGAAAGUCUGACCGAGCAACGCCGCGUGAGUGAAGAAGGUUUUCGGAUCGUAAAACUCUGUUGUUAGAGAAGAACAAGGAUGAGAGUAACUGUUCAUCCCUUGACGGUAUCUAACCAGAAAGCCACGGCUAACUACGUGCCAGCAGCCGCGGUAAUACGUAGGUGGCAAGCGUUGUCCGGAUUUAUUGGGCGUAAAGCGAGCGCAGGCGGUUUCUUAAGUCUGAUGUGAAAGCCCCCGGCUCAACCGGGGAGGGUCAUUGGAAACUGGGAGACUUGAGUGCAGAAGAGGAGAGUGGAAUUCCAUGUGUAGCGGUGAAAUGCGUAGAUAUAUGGAGGAACACCAGUGGCGAAGGCGGCUCUCUGGUCUGUAACUGACGCUGAGGCUCGAAAGCGUGGGGAGCAAACAGGAUUAGAUACCCUGGUAGUCCACGCCGUAAACGAUGAGUGCUAAGUGUUGGAGGGUUUCCGCCCUUCAGUGCUGCAGCUAACGCAUUAAGCACUCCGCCUGGGGAGUACGACCGCAAGGUUGAAACUCAAAGGAAUUGACGGGGGCCCGCACAAGCGGUGGAGCAUGUGGUUUAAUUCGAAGCAACGCGAAGAACCUUACCAGGUCUUGACAUCCUUUGACCACUCUAGAGAUAGAGCUUCCCCUUCGGGGGCAAAGUGACAGGUGGUGCAUGGUUGUCGUCAGCUCGUGUCGUGAGAUGUUGGGUUAAGUCCCGCAACGAGCGCAACCCUUAUUGUUAGUUGCCAUCAUUCAGUUGGGCACUCUAGCAAGACUGCCGGUGACAAACCGGAGGAAGGUGGGGAUGACGUCAAAUCAUCAUGCCCCUUAUGACCUGGGCUACACACGUGCUACAAUGGGAAGUACAACGAGU